UACGGCUCAGUAACACGUGGAUAACCUGCCCUAAGGAAGGGGAUACCCUCGGGAAACUGAGGAUAAUACCCUAUAGGUUACCGAUGCUGGAAUGCUCGGUAACUCAAAGUUCCGGCGCCUUAGGAUGGAUCUGCGGCCGAUUAGGUAGUUGUUGGGGUAACGGCCCAACAAGCCCGUAAUCGGUACGGGUUGUGGGAGCAAGAGCCCGGAGUUGGAUUCUGAGACACGAAUCCAGGCCCUACGGGGCGCAGCAGGCGCGAAAACUUUACAAUGCGGGCAACCGUGAUAAGGGAACCUCGAGUGCCUGUACAUGCAGGCUGUCUGGGUGUCUAAAACACACCCAAAGAAAGGGCCGGGCAAGACCGGUGCCAGCCGCCGCGGUAAUACCGGCGGCUCGAGUGGUGGCCACUUUUAUUGGGCUUAAAGCGUUCGUAGCUGGGUUGUUAAGUCUCUUGGGAAAUCCGGCGGCUUAACCGUCGGGCGUCUAAGAGAUACUGGCAAUCUUGGAACCGGGAGAGGUGAGGGGUACUUCGGGGGUAGGAGUGAAAUCCUGUAAUCCUCGAGGGACCACCUGUGGCGAAGGCGCCUCACCAGAACGGCUUCGACAGUGAGGGACGAAAGCUGGGGGAGCAAACCGGAUUARAUACCCGGGUAGUCCCACCGUAAACGAUGUGCGYUUAGGCGCUUCACGACCACGAGUCGUCGAGGUGC
rnacentral:rRNA from 1 species